rnacentral:lncRNA from 10 species
CUCCGGGGCGGGGCGCGGCGCCAGCCUAGCCCGAGGAUGGAGGCUGAGGCCGCCUGUUGAGUCACAGUUUCCCUGUGAUGCUCAUUUUAACCAGAUGGCACUUGCUUAGCAGUUUGGAGGAGAAGACCUGUUCCCCUGCAGGUAUGGGCCUUUGGGAUCAUUACCCUCUCCAGAUCUGGCAGCUCCAUCAGGUGGUGGCUCUUUCUCCAAACGUCCUUGACAGCUUUAGUGCUCCUCCUUCUACUGUGCCCUCUGGUGAGCAGGGGUUUUCUGCAUCUGUGGUGACCAUAUUUCUGAACCCAGAUGAAUCAUGGGUAUGAGAAUUCUUGGGGUGUUCAAGGGAACAAAUAUUUAUUUAUUUAUUUAUUGAGAUAGGGUUGUACUCGGUCUGAACUCACCCAGGAGUUCAGUGGCAUGAUCGUGGCUCACUGCAGCCUCAACCCCUGGGCUCCAGCUAUCCUCCCACCUCAGCCUCCCUAGUAGCUGGGACUAAAGGUACAUACCACUAUACCCAGCUAAAUUUUUGUACUUUUUUUUUUUUAAGAGAUGGGGUUUCACCAUGUUGCCCAGGCUGGUCUCAAACACCAGGUCACAAACGAUCUUGUGACCUUGGUGCCUGCCUUGGCCUCCCAGAGUGCUGGGACUGCAGUGGGAGCGGAUCUUUGAAAUUGUGGCUGCCCUGAGAAGCCAGGGGCACAUGGCAGUUGUACCUCUGCUGGGGCAUCCUGGGAGCUUUCCAGCAAUGGGACUUCCCUUUUGGAUAUGGUCAGACUAGUUGCAUGCCUUUUUAUUUUGCUUGUUACCUAGGUUUCUCCCUCAUGAAAUUCACUUAUUUCAGUUACCAAAAAGUACUUUGUAGAUAAUGAUGGGGGCUUCUUACAUUGAUGGCCCAGAAAGGCUGGAAGAUGUAGGUUAACCAGACGGCCCAGGCACAAAAGCCAUAUCCACACAUUCUAAACAGGGAGAGUGCUGAGAGCCCACCCUUUGCUUUGUUUCUGGGAAAAAAUAUUGCCUCCUUCCCCUAAGAAACUGAUCUGAUUUUUCAGUGUGACCGUCAAUGUUCAUCUACCCUAAGGAUACUCAACUCUAUUUCAUGUUGUUGUGCAAAUAAAGCCUAAGGGUUGGUGAGAGGUUCUGGCUUCCCCUAAAAUACUCACUCACUGGUUGUGAACUCUUUUGUGAGAGGUGGAUUCUGAAAGUGAAUGUGUGGCUCUUGAAUACGGGGAUCAACACCAGCUGUGUUGGCAGCAGAACUUGCAGGGUUUUAGGGAAAGAGAUCUGGGGCAACAAAGGGAGGGUAGCUGGGCAGAGUGGGGGUGAGUGGGGUGGAGCUGGAAUGGGGAAGGCCAAGGUAAAGAUGGACCAAGAGCUGAGACUAGCUGAGGAGCCCUGGUCUGCAUGGCUGGGGCAAGGCUGGCUCAAUCUCAGCUCACUGCAACUUCCAUCUCCUGGGUUCAAGCAAUUCUCCUGCCUCAUCCUCCUGAGUAGCUGGGACUACAGGUGCCUGCCCCCAUGCCCCGCUAAUUUUCGUAUUUUUAGUAGAGACAGGUUUUCACCUCAUUGGCCAGGAUGGCCUUGAUCACUUGGCAUUAAGUGAUCCACCCACCUCGGCCUCCCAAAGUGUUAGGAUUACAGGCAUGAGCCACCAUGCCCAGCCCCUUGAACACAGGUCUUUAAAUGGUUUAUUUAACAAAUUCUUACAAGAGUCUACAAUGGGCUUGACUUACGUGGAGGAAAGAUGCCUAUUGUGGAGGAACCCUUACAGUGGACUUUUUUUUUUUUUUUGAGUCAGGGUCUCACUCUGUCACCCAGGGUGGAGUGCACUGGUGUGAUCAUGACUCACUGCAGCCUCGACCUCCUGGCUCAGGUGAUCCUCCCACCUCAGCCUCCCAAGUAGCUGAGACCACAGGUGCACACCACCACGCCCAGCUAGUUUUUUUAUUUUUUGUAGAAAUGGGGUUUCUCCAUGUUGCCUGGUCUGGUCUUGAACUCCUGGGCUCAAACGAUCUGUCCAUCUUGGCUUCCCAAAACCUGAAGCCAGGCCAGGUAUGUUAAUUUCCUCGGGCCCCCAUGUCAAAAUACCACAAACUGGGUGGCUUAAAUGUUGAUCAUUUUAUUGUCUCACCUUUCUUGAGUCAGAAGUCUGAGAUUAAUGUGUCAGUAGGGUUGGUUCCAGGCAUUUGGAGGUGGGGCACUCAUAUUUCCUUCUGAGGGCUGUGCAGGAGAAUCUGUUCCAUGCCCCUCUCCUAACUGCUGUUUUGUUUUGUUUUGUUUUGUUUUGUUUCUCUUUCCUCCAUCUUGUGGAUGCAAAAAUAUAAACUGACCCAAGAGAUUCAUUAUUUAGAAAGUGAUGCCUUAUACCCAGGAUUUAAUCAGUGGCUCUUCAGGUUGCCAUGUAGAAAGCAGCUUUGCUGGCUGCCACUUUCGAUCAAGGGCUAAACUCUGAGGGUGACAUGCCACUAAGGAGCUGAACGGAGCCUGAGUCCUUGUAGCAGAGGCUGGUCUCCAGUCCUGUCUGUUCUUCUUCUUGGGCACACAGCUAGGCUACAUUCCCUAGCCUUCCUUGGAGCUUAGAAUAAUUCCUAGCCAAUAGCAUUUGAGUAUAAUUGAGUGGGCCACCUCCAGAUGUGGCCCAUUACAAGUCACAUUCUCUGCCUCCAACCCAGGUUACUUCAGGUAAUAAUCCUUCUGCCUAGAAAGGUUGGGCACCCUGAUAUGCACAAAUCUGCAUUAACUUCACAGAUGACUCAAUUAGCAGGUGAUGACUUACUGGCAGUGUUCAUUACGGUGGCCUUUCUAGUUGUCAUCUUCCCAGAUGACAUUUUUAGAAUUUCAUCUCUACACUUUCCAAAAACACUACUUGACACCUGUGGGUUUUAAAAUGAAAUAACCUCAGAUAUGAAAUAACCUUUCCCCAAUCCAUUCAUUGUAGUUGGAAGCUGGUCUUACUAAUGGCAGGGUGACCGUAACACUUGGUUAUGAACCAGGGUAUUGCCUCCAACCAAGCCUUAACAAUCUCAUCCUCCCUUUAGCCUUCCAUGAUUAGACCUCAACUCAUGAGAACUCUUGCCUUGCUCACAAGUGGGAGUAAAUGCUCAUAGCUCUAGAAAUCUCCCAGGAACCAGACAUCACGGAAACUAGAAAGGCUAAGGGAGUCCAAUCUUCCUCUAAAUUGGCCAACAGUAGAGUGGUGGAAAGAGAACAAGCUGCAAACCAGACAGACCCAAGCUUGAAUCUCACCUCUGCCAAGCUACCAGAGCUCAACAAACUACAGACCACGGGCCAAAUCUGACCCACCGCUGCUUUUGUAAAUAAAACUUUAUUGGAAAAAAGCCACAUUUGUGUAUGUGUUGUCUGUGGCUGCUUUUGUGCUACCGAGACAGAGGCAAGAAAGGAGAGAAAAAGAGGCAUGGAGCAGGUAUAUUACGGGUUGAAUUGAGUUCACCAAAAAGAUAUGUUGAAAUCCAAAGCCCCAGUGUCUGUGAAAGUUACCUUAUUUGGAAAUAAGGUCUUUGCCAAUGUAAAGAUAAAGUCAUGCUGAAUUAAGGUGAGCCCUAACCUAAUAUGGCUGGUGUCCUUAUAAGAAGAGAAGAGACAGACAAAGGGAAGGAGUCCAUGUGACCACAGGGCCAGUGGAAGUGAUGCAACUGCCUGCCAAGUGCACCAAGGAUGGGUGGCCACCAGCAGAAGCUCGGAAGAUGCAAGGAAGGAUUCUAUCCAGAGUUACAGAGGGAGCAUGGCCCAGCUGACACCUUGAUUUCAAACCUGUAGCCUCAAGAAAUGUGGAUAAUGACCUUCUGUCAUUUUAAGCCACCCCGUCUGCAACACUUUCUUAUGGCAAUGUGAUGGGUAAGCUUAUGUGUCAAUGUGACUGAGCCCCAGGAUGCUUAGAUACUUGAUGAAACA